rnacentral:rRNA from 1 species
UACGAAGGGGGCUAGCGUUGCUCGGAAUUACUGGGCGUAAAGCGCACGUAGGCGGCUCUUUAAGUCGGGGGUGAAAUCCUGGAGCUCAACUCCAGAACUGCCUUCGAUACUGAAGAGCUCGAGUCCGGGAGAGGUGAGUGGAACUGCGAGUGUAGAGGUGAAAUUCGUAGAUAUUAGGAAGAACACCAGUGGCGAAGGCGGCUCACUGGCCCGGUACUGACGCUGAGGCGCGAAAGCGUGGGGAGCAAACAGG